AAUAAAAGAAGAAAAAACGCAUUACACAAUUACUUUUCAAAUGCUAUUUUACCCAACAUUUAUCAAAAGCUUAUGUUGAUCAUUUCCACUUAAAAUUUUCUAUGUACUGACCUAUUGAGAAUGUAUCUACUGUCUUUAUGGUUGAUUCU
rnacentral:sRNA from 1 species